rnacentral:rRNA from 1 species
CAGUCGCCACGGGAAUACAGAGGGUGCGAGCGUUAAUCGGAUUUACUGGGCGUAAAGCGUGCGUAGGCGGCUUCUUAAGUCGGAUGUGAAAUCCCUGAGCUUAACUUAGGAAUUGCAUUCGAUACUGGGAAGCUAGAGUAUGGGAGAGGAUGGUAGAAUUCCAGGUGUAGCGGUGAAAUGCGUAGAGAUCUGGAGGAAUACCGAUGGCGAAGGCAGCCAUCUGGCCUAAUACUGACGCUGAGGUACGAAAGCAUGGGGAGCAAACAGGAUUAGAGACCCCUGUAGUCCCUGUCUCUUAUAC